CAAGCACUUAGCUCAACAGCAUGGCACCUCAGAUUCACAAUCCUAGCCAACUCUUUAAUAAUUUUCAUUAUUUUUGCAGAUCUGCUAGAUUGCCGAGGACUCUUGCCUUAAUUUUCAGAAUUCAGAGACUCCACAUCUCCAUUCAUCGAGAAGCAGAUCACCUAGCAUCUUAGGGUAACAUGUACGCUCACUUUACCAGCAAUUCAACUGUUGCUUGUGCUCAACCACCUCCUCGUUCGGCAGCUUCAAGUUGGGAUAGAUACAAGAUCUUGUGUAUCUCGUCUCUUUGGAAUGAAUCAAAGCUUAGAAGAUUAAGAACAAAAGGUGUUGAAAGAAGGUACAAGGUAAGGUCGGCCAUCCAUCAUUGCCAAACAAGUGAGACUCUCAGUAACUGAUGAAGGAAUAUCAAGUAAAUCAACUGGCUCAAGUUUCACAGGUUUGCACACACAAGGACCUUGAGAGGAACUACCAAUCUCCUUUAUGCUCAAUGGCUUCAAACCUGCAUUUGGGUACUAACAUAUCAAGUAGAAAGCUGCCAAUGCCAAGGUUAAUUGGCGCUGAGAAGCAUUUACAUGCACAAAGAACAAUCCAGGUAUUAGUCAAAAUCAAUUAAAUGCAAAAGGAAAAAUCAUACCUCUUAACCUCUUAGCAGAAGAAUCCCCUUCCUCUCUUGUAUCCGGAUGCUCUUUUCUCACCAUUUUCUUUGUUUCACCUGUGAGUAAAACCAAGCAAUAUAAGAAGCAAAGAAACUUGUUCUACAAACACAUCAGAGGCAUUAUUUGACAGGCCGCAAAGCAGCAUGUGCACAGAUGUCACUUAUAUAUAUUGUAGUUUAUGGUUGUAUAUAUUAAUUCUGUAUACAUUGUGACCCAUCAGCCUUUGGCAAGAAGUUCACAAAACAAUGUGUUACUAAUGCAAUCGGAGCAACCAAUAUUGUUCCAUUCAGUUAAAAAAAAA